rnacentral:rRNA from 1 species
GACUUGGCGGCGUGCUUAACACAUGCAAGUCGAACGAAGCACUUUAUUACGAUUUCUUCGGAAUGACGAUUUAGUGACUGAGUGGCGGACGGGUGAGUAACGCGUGGGUAACCUGCCUUAUACAGGGGGAUAACAGUUAGAAAUGACUGCUAAUACCGCAUAAGCGCACAGGAUUGCAUGAUCUGGUGUGAAAAACUCCGGUGGUAUAAGAUGGACCCGCGUCUGAUUAGCUGGUUGGUGAGGUAACGGCCCACCAAGGCGACGAUCAGUAGCCGACCUGAGAGGGUGACCGGCCACAUUGGGACUGAGACACGGCCCAAACUCCUACGGGAGGCAGCAGUGGGGAAUAUUGCACAAUGGGGGAAACCCUGAUGCAGCGACGCCGCGUGAGCGAAGAAGUAUUUCGGUAUGUAAAGCUCUAUCAGCAGGGAAGAAAAAAUGACGGUACCUGACUAAGAAGCCCCGGCUAACUACGUG